rnacentral:rRNA from 1 species
CAGUCGCCACGGUAAUACGAAGGGGGCUAGCGUUGCUCGGAAUGACUGGGCGUAAAGGGCGCGUAGGCGGCGAUCAAAGUCAGGCGUGAAAUUCCUGGGCUCAACCUGGGGGCUGCGUUUGAUACUUGAUUGCUAGAGUGGGGAAGAGGGUCGUGGAAUUCCCAGUGUAGAGGUGAAAUUCGUAGAUAUUGGGAAGAACACCGGUGGCGAAGGCGGCGACCUGGUCCUUGACUGACGCUGAGGCGCGAAAGCGUGGGGAGCAAACAGGAUUAGAUACCCCUGUAGUCCCUGUCUCUUAUAC